UAGGGAAUAUUGCGCAAUGGGCGAAAGCCUGACGCAGCGACGCCGCGUGGGUGAUGAAGCUCUUUGGAGUGUAAAACCCUUUCAGCAGGGAAGAACCGCAUACGGAGUAACUGCCGUAUGCCUGACGGUACCUGCAGAAGAAGCUCCGGCCAACUCCGUGCCAGCAGCCGCGGUAAUACGGGGGGAGCGAGCGUUGUUCGGAUUUACUGGGCGUAAAGGGCGCGUAGGUGGGUCUUCAAGUCAAAUGUGAAAACCGACGGCUUAACCAUCGGCCUGCAUUUGAUACUGUCGAUCUUGAGUACGGGAGAGGAAAGCGGAAUUCCUGGUGUAGCGGUGAAAUGCGUAGAUAUCAGGAGGAACACCGGUGGCGAAGGCGGCUUUCUGGCCCGAUACUGACACUGAGGCGCAAAGGCCGGGGGAGCAAACAG
rnacentral:rRNA from 1 species